rnacentral:rRNA from 1 species
AUUGAACGCUGGCGGCAUGCCUUACACAUGCAAGUCGAACGGCAGCACGGGUGCUUGCACCUGGUGGCGAGUGGCGAACGGGUGAGUAAUACAUCGGAACAUGUCCUGUAGUGGGGGAUAGCCCGGCGAAAGCCGGAUUAAUACCGCAUACGAUCUACGGAUGAAAGCGGGGGACCUUCGGGCCUCGCGCUAUAGGGUUGGCCGAUGGCUGAUUAGCUAGUUGGUGGGGUAAAGGCCUACCAAGGCGACGAUCAGUAGCUGGUCUGAGAGGACGACCAGCCACACUGGAACUGAGACACGGCCCAGACUCCUACGGGAGGCAGCAGUGGGGAAUUUUGGACAAUGGGUGAAAGCCUGAUCCAGCAAUGCCGCGUGUGUGAAGAAGGCCUUCGGGUUGUAAAGCACUUUUGUCCGGAAAGAAAUCCUUGGCCCUAAUACGGUCGGGGGAUGACGGUACCGGAAGAAUAAGCACCGGCUAACUACGUG